UUGGCGGCCGGCGCACGGGUGCGUAACGCGUAUGUAACCUACCUAUAACAGGGGCAUAACACUGAGAAAUUGGUACUAAUUCCCCAUAAUAUUCGGAGAGGCAUCUCUCCGGGUUGAAAACUCCGGUGGUUAUAGAUGGACAUGCGUUGUAUUAGCUAGUUGGUGAGGUAACGGCUCACCAAGGCAACGAUACAUAGGGGGACUGAGAGGUUAACCCCCCACACUGGUACUGAGACACGGACCAGACUCCUACGGGAGGCAGCAUG
rnacentral:rRNA from 1 species